GACGAACGCUGGCGGCGUGCCUAAUACAUGCAAGUCGAGCGGACCAAAGGGAGCUUGCUCCUGGAGGUCAGCGGCGAACGGGUGAGUAACACGUGGGCAACCUGCCUGUAAGGCUGGGAUAACAUCGAGAAAUCGGUGCUAAUACCGGAUAAUAAAAAGAACCGCAUGGUUCUUUUUUGAAAGAUGGUUUCGGCUAUCACUUACAGAUGGGCCCGCGGCGCAUUAGCUAGUUGGUGAGGUAACGGCUCACCAAGGCAACGAUGCGUAGCCGACCUGAGAGGGUGAUCGGCCACACUGGGACUGAGACACGGCCCAGACUCCUACGGGAGGCAGCAGUAGGGAAUCUUCCGCAAUGGACGAAAGUCUGACGGAGCAACGCCGCGUGAGUGAUGAAGGUUUUCGGAUCGUAAAACUCUGUUGUUAGGGAAGAACAAGUGCCGUUCGAAAGGGCGGCACCUUGACGGUACCUAACGAGAAAGCCACGGCUAACUACGUGCCAGCAGCCGCGGUAA
rnacentral:rRNA from 1 species